rnacentral:rRNA from 1 species
CAGCCGCCGCGGUAAUACCGGCGGCCCGAGUGGCGGUCACUAUUAUUGGGCUUAAAGCGUCCGUAGCCGGGUUGGGAAAUCCUCCGGGAAAUCUGGCCGCUUAACGGUCAGAAUGCCGGAGGAUACUCCCAGCCUAGGGAGCGGGAGAGGCCGAGGGGAUUCCCGGAGUAGGGGUGAAAUCCUAUAAUCCCGGGAGGACCACCUGUGGCGAAGGCGCUCGGCUGGAACGCGUCCGACGGUGAGGGACGAAGGCCAGGGGAGCAAACCGUAUUAGAUACCCGGGUAGUCCUGGCUGUAAACGAUGCGGACUUUGUGUCGGACAAGCUAUGAGCUUGUCCGGUGCCGGAGGGAAACCGUUAAGUCCGCCGCCUGGGGAGUACGGCCGCAAGGCUGAAACUUAAAGGAAUUGGCGGG